rfam:Cavia porcellus supercont2_7 genomic scaffold, whole genome shotgun sequence.
UUUAUCUUGACAGUAAAUAUACCACAAUUGGAACAAUACAGAAUAGAUUAGAAUAGCCCUUGUGACAUGAAAAUUUGUGAAGCAUUCAGUAUUUUC